ACGCUGGCGGCAGGCUUAACACAUGCAAGUCGAACGGUAACAGGAGAAAACUUGCUUUCUUGCUGACGAGUGGCGGACGGGUGAGUAAUGCUUGGGAAUCUGGCUUACGGAGGGGGAUAACGACGGGAAACUGUCGCUAAUACCGCGUAGAGUCGAGAGACGAAAGUGCGGGACCGCAAGGCCGCAUGCCAUAGGAUGAGCCCAAGUGGGAUUAGGUAGUUGGUGGGGUAAUAGCCUACCAAGCCGACGAUCUCUAGCUGGUCUGAGAGGAUGACCAGCCACACCGGGACUGAGACACGGCCCGGACUCCUACGGGAGGCAGCAGUGGGGAAUAUUGCGCAAUGGGGGCAACCCUGACGCAGCCAUGCCGCGUGAAUGAAGAAGGCCUUCGGGUUGUAAAGUUCUUUCGGUAUUGAGGAAGGUUGUUGUGUUAAUAGCACGACAAAUUGACGUUAAAUACAGAAGAAGCACCGGCUAACUCCGUGCCAGCAGCCGCGGUAAUACGGAGGGUGCGAGCGUUAAUCGGAAUAACUGGGCGUAAAGGGCACGCAGGCGGACUUUUAAGUGAGGUGUGAAAUCCCCGGGCUUAACCUGGGAAUUGCAUUUCAGACUGGGAGUCUAGAGUACUUUAGGGAGGGGUAGAAUUCCACGUGUAGCGGUGAAAUGCGUAGAGAUGUGGAGGAAUACCGAAGGCGAAGGCAGCCCCUUGGGAAUGUACUGACGCUCAUGUGCGAAAGCGUGGGGAGCAAACAGGAUUAGAUACCCUGGUAGUCCACGCUGUAAACGCUGUCGAUUUGGGGAUUGGGCUUUAAGCUUGGUGCCCGAAGCUAACGUGAUAAAUCGACCGCCUGGGGAGUACGGCCGCAAGGUUAAAACUCAAAUGAAUUGACGGGGGCCCGCACAAGCGGUGGAGCAU
rnacentral:rRNA from 1 species